rnacentral:rRNA from 1 species
GAGGUCAGGCUGAAGACCUUACCCGAUUUAGCUGAGAGGUGGUGCAUGGCCGUCGUCAGUUCGUACUGUGAAGCAUCCUGUUAAGUCAGGCAACGAGCGAGACCCACGUCCACAGUUGCCAGCAUACCCUCCGGGGUGAUGGGUACACUGUGGAGACCGCCGCUGCUAAAGCGGAGGAAGGAGUGGGCAACGGUAGGUCAGUAUGCCCCGAAUCUCCCGGGCUACACGCGGGCUACAAUGGUUGGUACAAUGGGCAUCUACCCCGAAAGGGGAAGGAAAUCUCUUAAAGCCAAUCUUAGUUCGGAUUGAGGGCUGCAACUCGCCCUCAUGAAGCUGGAAUCCGUAGUAAUCGCGUUUCAACAGAACGCGGUGAAUACGUCCCUGCUCCUU